rnacentral:misc_RNA from 1 species
GCCGACCAGUACAAGGGCCGCGUCACCCCCUUCGUCGUCUUCGCCUGCAUCGUCGCCGCCGUCGGCGGCUCCAUUUUCGGCUAUGACAUCGGUAUCUCAGGAGGAGUUACAUCCAUGGAUCCAUUUCUACAGAAGUUCUUCCCGGUAAUAUACCGGAAGAAGAACCAUGAAUCAAAUAGCAACUACUGCAAGUACGAUAACCAAGGCCUCGCCGCCUUCACCUCCUCUCUCUACCUAGCUGGC